AGAUCUCAAGGCAGUGACUCUUCCUGCAUUGACAAUACUUAAAAUCCAACUCGAAUGUUCUGAAGAAGAAAUGUGAGACCAUCCCUUAAAAUUAUGGAAAAAGAGAAAAUAUAACCACAAGAAAUGGCACAAGGAAGAAAACAUCUUCCUUUCCUGAGCUCAGCUGAAUCCUGCUCACCUUUUGUGAGCAGCUACCUGAAAUUAUUUGCUCUGGAUAGACAAGCAGAAUUUGUUCCCUGGCAAUGUUCAGAGGACUUGGAAGAGAGGCAGCCAAUACCUGAAGGAAAUAAACCCAAACAAAAUAAA